rnacentral:rRNA from 1 species
GACGGAAACUGACCUAGUAAGGGGUAAAGAUCGCCGCUCUCGAGCCUCCGUCUCUCCGUACCGCUAAAGCCAACCUCCGGAGUGAGCGACUAGAGAGCUCCGCGAAACCACCCUCUCGCCCUCUCCGGUUCAGCUGCGGUACCGCUAAACCGACGCCAAAGAAGAGCCCAGCAAACUAAGCACUGCGAGGAAGAAAGCACCACCAGGCGUUCGGGACGCAGAGAGGGGGGCAGGGGAUGGACUCUACAGUACUCCAUCCUCUCUCUAGAACCUCCUCACUUACGUAUUCUCAACCCACAAAUGGACACAAAAAAGACGUAGAGGUCGGUCUAAACACAGGGUCUAGUACCUCCUUAACGGGAGAGACGACCACACAAAUACCACGUAAAAGAAUUACCUAAAUACCACAUUAAGGAUGACCUGAAUGUCACAAAAAGAAUCACCUAAGGUCACAUUAAGAUUCACCUAAAUGUGAUAUUAAGGAUGACAUAAAUGUCACCAAAAAUCACCUAAAGUGACAUUAAGAUUCAUCUAAAUGUCACAUUAAGAUUCACCUAAAUGUGACGUCAAGGAUGACCUAAAUGUCACAAAAAGAAUCACCUAAAGGUGAAUUUACGAAUCACAUUAAUAAAUCAUGUUUAAUAAACCUAACAAUCAUAUAAAAAUCGCCAUAAAUGUCACGUUUAGAAUCACAUUAAAAUCACCUAAAAUGUAACAUUAAGAAUCACCUGUAUUUCUAAAAAUG